CCGUAGGGUGAACCUGCGGAGGGAUCAUUACCGAGUUUACAACUCCCAAACCCCUGUGAACAUACCUAUACGUUGCCUCGGCGGAUCAGCCCGCGCCCCGUAAAACGGGACGGCCCGCCCGAGGACCCUAAACUCUGUUUUUAGUGGAACUUCUGAGUAAAACAAACAAAUAAAUCAAAACUUUCAACAACGGAUCUCUUGGUUCUGGCAUCGAUGAAGAACGCAGCAAAAUGCGAUAAGUAAUGUGAAUUGCAGAAUUCAGUGAAUCAUCGAAUCUUUGAACGCACAUUGCGCCCGCCAGUAUUCUGGCGGGCAUGCCUGUUCGAGCGUCAUUUCAACCCUCAAGCUCAGCUUGGUGUUGGGACUCGCGGUAACCCGCGUUCCCCAAAUCGAUUGGCGGUCACGUCGAGCUUCCAUAGCGUAGUAAUCAUACACCUCGUUACUGGUAAUCGUCGCGGCCACGCCGUAAAACCCC
rnacentral:rRNA from 1 species